GACGAACGCUGGCGGCGUGCCUAAUACAUGCAAGUAGAACGCAGUUGCGAACGGGUGAGUAACGCGUCGGUAACUGCCUCAUAGCGGGGGAUAACUAUUGGAAACGAUAGCUAAUACCGCAUACUGUGAGAUGGACCUGCUUUGUAUUAGCUAGUUGGUGGGGGAAAGGCCCACCAAGGCGCCGAUACAUAGCCGACCUGAGAGGGUGAACGGCCAAAACGGGACCGAGACACGGGCCAGACUCCGUCGGGGGGCAAGAGUAGGGAAACUUGGGCAAUGGGCGGAAGUCUGAACGAGCCAAGCCGCGUGAGAGAAGAAGGUUUUCGGAUCGUAAAGCUCUGUUGUUAGAGGAGCGGUACCUAACCAGAAAGGGACGGCUAACUACGUGCCAGCAGCCGCGGUAAUUC
rnacentral:rRNA from 1 species